rnacentral:rRNA from 1 species
CGGUAGGCCUAACACAUGCAAGUCGAACGGCAGCACAGGAGAGCUUGCUCUCUGGGUGGCGAGUGGCGGACGGGUGAGGAAUACAUCGGAAUCUACUUUUUCGUGGGGGAUAACGUAGGGAAACUUACGCUAAUACCGCAUACGACCUACGGGUGAAAGCAGGGGAUCUUCGGACCUUGCGCGAUUGAAUGAGCCGAUGUCGGAUUAGCUAGUUGGCGGGGUAAAGGCCCACCAAGGCGACGAUCCGUAGCUGGUCUGAGAGGAUGAUCAGCCACACUGGAACUGAGACACGGUCCAGACUCCUACGGGAGGCAGCAGUGGGGAAUAUUGGACAAUGGGCGCAAGCCUGAUCCAGCCAUACCGCGUGGGUGAAGAAGGCCUUCGGGUUGUAAAGCCCUUUUGUUGGGAAAGAAAUCCAGCUGGUUAAUACCCGGUUGGGAUGACGGUACCCAAAGAAUAAGCACCGGCUAACUUCGUGCCAGCAGCCGCGGUAAUACGAAGGGUGCAAGCGUUACUCGGAAUUACUGGGCGUAAAGCGUGCGUAGGUGGUCGUUUAAGUCCGUUGUGAAAGCCCUGGGCUCAACCUGGGAACUGCAGUGGAUACUGGGCGACUAGAGUGUGGUAGAGGGUAGCGGAAUUCCUGGUGUAGCAGUGAAAUGCGUAGAGAUCAGGAGGAACAUCCAUGGCGAAGGCAGCUACCUGGACCAACACUGACACUGAGGCACGAAAGCGUG